rnacentral:rRNA from 1 species
GGUUGCGAUCAUACCAGCACUAAUGCACCGGAUCCCAUCAGAACUCCGCAAUUAAGCGUGCUUGGGCGAGAGUAGUACUAGGAUGGGUGACCCCCUGGGAAGUCCUCGUGUUGCAACCC